AUUAGCAGUUUCAAAAACACGAUAAUUAAAGUUCUGUUUUCGAAGUGUGAACACAUUCGAGAAGCAGUGACGGGGUGAGCUCUUCUUUCACAGGGGUGGAUAUUAAAGUGGAAGCGGUUCUGUAAAUAUCAUAACCAGUUUUAACUGCCUGCUCCUGAGGUGCACGUCUUAAAGACUUGGCCUAGUGUUCAAUCCGUGGCCAGGGAAAACGGUCCAUGGCUGCACUCCUCCACCCUCGACUGCAUCCGAUCUCCCGCAGGCCUGACUCCACUUGAUCCAGCUAACGAGCUCGCUGUGCUCCUCUACGCCUCGUGCCAAACGGGUCACUAGCGAUCACCUUCCUGGUAGGGCGUGAGUACUUCAUCCUCAUCACGUGCCGUAACCAGCGUUUUCUUCUGGCUUUGGUAACCGUCAGGAUGUCUGCAUCGCCAAACAGCUCAACUAGCACGUGGUUCAUCCUCCUUCUGCACACGCCCUGCUCGCACUCACCGCCAAAGAUAGUCUGUAGCACUCACCGCUCGUAAAUGACAAGUGCAUUGGAGUCCUCCGCCGGUAUAGUCCAGGACUCGCGCCUGUAGAGGACUACCGUCCGUAUCAGUGUGCGAUAUAUGGCGCAUUUCGUGCGUUUUAUGAGUCUUCUGGAUCUCAGGAAUUUCUGGAGCCCGUAGUAGGUACGAUUCCCUUGAACAAUGCGCCGUCGGAUUUCAUUGCUUACGUUGUUGUCCGAAGUUACGGUUGUCCAAGUUAGCAUAACUUCUAUACUACCUCAAGAUCGUCGCUGUCACCCAAUGCUCUGCUUCCGAAUCGUACUCUUUCAUGGUCAAAGUCUCCAGUAGGCAGGUACUUGUCUUCAUCGCAUUGAUCCUCAAUCGAAUCCUA